rnacentral:rRNA from 1 species
GAUGAACGCUGGCGGCGUGCCUAACACAUGCAAGUCGAACGAAGCAGCGUGGCGGAACCCUCCGGGGGAAAGCGGCGGUGACUGAGUGGCGGACGGGGGAGUAACGCGUGGACAACCUGCCGUAUACAGGGGGACAACAGCCGGAAACGGCUGCUAAUACCGCAUAAGCGCACGGUGCCGCAUGGCACGGUGUGAAAAACCACGGUGGUAUACGAUGGGUCCGCGUCUGAUUAGCCAGUUGGCGGGGUAACGGCCCACCAAAGCGACGAUCAGUAGCCGGCCUGAGAGGGCGGACGGCCACAUUGGGACUGAGACACGGCCCAG